rnacentral:rRNA from 1 species
GAUGAACGCUGGCGGCGUGCCUAAUACAUGCAAGUCGAGCGAACAGAUGAGGAGCUUGCUCCUCUGACGUUAGCGGCGGACGGGUGAGUAACACGUGGAUAACCUACCUAUAAGACUGGGAUAACUUCGGGAAACCGGAGCUAAUACCGGAUAAUAUAUUGAACCGCAUGGUUCAAUAGUGAAAGACGGUUUUGCUGUCACUUAUAGAUGGAUCCGCGCCGCAUUAGCUAGUUGGUAAGGUAACGGCUUACCAAGGCAACGAUGCGUAGCCGACCUGAGAGGGUGAUCGGCCACACUGGAACUGAGACACGGUCCAGACUCCUACGGGAGGCAGCAGUAGGGAACCUUCCGCAAUGGGCGAAAGCCUGACGGAGCAACGCCGCGUGAGUGAUGAAGGUCUUCGGAUCGUAAAACUCUGUUAUUAGGGAAGAACAAAUGUGUAAGUAACUAUGCACGUCUUGACGGUACCUAAUCAGAAAGCCACGGCUAACUACGUG